UCGAAUGUAGCAAUACAUGGCGUACUGCUCAGUAACACGUGGACAACCUACCCUCCGGACGGGUAUAAACCCGGGAAACUGGGUAUAAUCCCCGAUAGAUCUCGGUCGCUGGAAAGCCCCGAGAUCGAAAGCUCCGGCGCCAGAGGAUGGGUCUGCGGCCUAUCAGGUAGUAGUGGGUGUAGCGUACCUACUAGCCUACGACGGGUACGGGUUGUGAGAGCAAGAGCCCGGAGAUGGAUUCUGAGACACGAAUCCAGGCCCUACGGGGUGCAGCAGGCGCGAAAACUUUACAAUGCCGGCAACGGCGAUAAGGGGACCUCGAGUGCCAGGUUACAAAUCUGGCUGUCGUGAUGCCUAAAAAGCAUUGCAUAGCAAGGGCCGGGCAAGACCGGUGCCAGCCGCCGCGGUAACACCGGCGGCUCGAGUGGUAACCGUUAUUAUUGGGUCUAAAGGGUCUGUAGCCGGCCGGAUAAGUCUCUUGAGAAAUCCAGCAGCUCAACUGUUGGGCUUUCAGGAGAUACUGUCUGGCUCGAGGCCGGGAGAGGUGAGAGGUACUUCAGGGGUAGGGGUGAAAUCUUGUAAUCCUUGAAGGACCACCAGUGGCGAAGGCGUCUCACCAGAACGGACCUGACGGCAAGGGACGAAAGCUAGGGGCACGAACCGGAUUAGAUACCCGGGUAGUCCUAGCCGUAAACGAUACUCGCUAGGUGUCGGCCACGGUGCGACCGUUGUCGGUGCCGUAGGGAAGCCGUGAAGCGAGCCACCUGGGAAGUACGGCCGCAAGGCUGAAACUUAAAGGAAUUGGCGGGGGAGCACCACAACGGGUGGAGCUUGCGGU
rnacentral:rRNA from 1 species